GAGAGGUGCUGCAUGGCUGUCGUCAGCUCGUGUUGUGAAAUGUUGUGUUAAGUCUCGCAACGAGCGCAACCCCUAUCGUCUGUUGCCAGCAUUAAGUUGGGCACUCUGACGAGACUGCCUGGGUUAACCAGGAGGAAGGUGGGGAUGACGUCAAGUCCUCAUGGCCCUUAUGUCUAGGGCUACACAUGUAAUACAAUGGCGCGUACAAAGGGAAGCGAACUCGCAAGGGGGAGCAAAUCUCAAAAAGCGCGUCUCAGUCCGGAUUGGAGUCUGCAACUCGACUCCAUGAAGUCGGAAUCGCUAGUA
rnacentral:rRNA from 1 species